rnacentral:rRNA from 1 species
CCUACGGGAGGCAGCAGUGAGGAAUAUUGGGCAAUGGGCGCAAGCCUGACCCAGCAACGCCGCGUGAAGGAAGAAGGCUUUCGGGUUGGAAACUUCUUUUAUGAGGGACGAAAGAAAUGACGGUACCUCCUGAAUAAGCCACGGCCAACUACGUGCCAGCAGUAGCAGUAAUACGUAGGUGGCAAGCGUUAUCCGGAUGUACUGGGUUUAAAGGGCUUGUAGGCGGGACGGCAAGUCAGACGUGAAAAUCAUGGGCGGAACCCAUAGCGUGCAUUUGACACUGGAGUUCUUGAGUGAUGGAGAGGCAGGCGGAAUUCGGGGUGUAGCGGUGAAAUGCGUAGAUAUACGGAGGAACACCAGUGGCGAAGGCGGCCUGCUGGACAUUAACUGACGCUGAGGCGCGAAAGCGUGGGUAGCAAACAGGAUUAGAUACCCUAGUAGUC